UACGAAGGGUGCAAGCGUUAAUCGGAAUUACUGGGCGUAAAGGGUGCGUAGGCGGUUGUUUAAGUCUGUCGUGAAAUCCCCGGGCUCAACCUGGGAAUGGCGAUGGAUACUGGACAGCUAGGAGUGUGUCAGAGGAUGGUGGAAUUCCCGGUGUAGCGGUGAAAUGCGCAGAGAUCGGGAGGAACAUUAGUGGCGAAGGCGGCCUCUGGG
rnacentral:rRNA from 1 species